rnacentral:rRNA from 1 species
GACGAACGCUGGCGGCGUGCUUAACACAUGCAAGUCGAACGGAAAGGCCCUGCUUUUGUGGGGUGCACGAGUGGCGAACGGGUGAGUAACACGUGAGUAACCUGCCCUUGACUUUGGGAUAACUUCAGGAAACUGGGGCUAAUACCGGAUAGGAGCUCCUGCUGCAUGGUGGGGGUUGGAAAGUUUCGGCGGUUGGGGAUGGACUCGCGGCUUAUCAGCUUGUUGGUGGGGUAGUGGCUUACCAAGGCUUUGACGGGUAGCCGGCCUGAGAGGGUGACCGGCCACAUUGGGACUGAGAUACGCCCCAGACUCCUACGGGAGGCAGCAGUGGGGAAUAUUGCACAAUGGGCGGAAGCCUGAUGCAGCAACGCCGCGUGCGGGAUGACGGCCUUCGGGUUGUAAACCGCUUUCGCCUGUGACGAAGCGUGAGUGACGGUAAUGGGUAAAGAAGCACCGGCUAACUACGUG